rnacentral:rRNA from 1 species
GCGAAAGUAUCCUUCGGGGUGCGAGUAGAGUGGCGCACGGGUGAGUAACACGUAGACAACCUGCCUUCCAGUUCGGGAUGACCCUUUGAAAGAGGGGCUAAUACCGGAUAACACGCUUCAUCGCAUGGUGGAGCGUUGAAAGGCUUGCUGCUGGAAGAGGGGUCUGCGGGACAUUAGCUUGUUGGUGGGGUAACGGCCUACCAAGGCUGUGAUGUCUAGCGGGUCUGAGAGGAUGAUCCGCCACACUGGAACUGGGACACGGUCCAGACUCCUACGGGAGGCAGCAGUGGGGAAUUUUGCGCAAUGGGCGAAAGCCUGACGCAGCAACGCCGCGUGAGUGAAGAAGGCCCUUGGGUCGUAAAGCUCUUUUCUGAGGGAAGAGCAAAGACGGUACCUCAGGAAUAAGCACCGGCUAACUCCGUGCCAGCAGCCGCGGUAAUACGGAGGGUGCAAGCGUUGUUCGGAUUUACUGGGCGUAAAGGGCGUGUAGGCGGAUAUGCAAGCUGGAGGUGAAAGCCCCGGGCUCAACCCGGGAACUGCUUUGUAGAACUGCAUGUCUAGAGAAAGUCAGAGGCAGGUGGAAUUCCAGGUGUAGAGGUGAAAUUCGUAGAGAUCUGGAGGAACACCGGCGGCGAAGGCGGCCUGCUGGGGCUUUUCUGACGCUGAGGCGCGAAAGCGUGGGGAGCAACAGGAUUAGAUACCCUGGUAGUCCACGCUGUAAACGAUGAGCACUCGAUGUGCGAGGU